UCAAAAUCAGUAUAAAAUUGAAUUGUCGCACGGGUUUUAAUCAAAUUGAAUGGUCAAGUUUCUUUAAAAGGGAAAAAAUGGGUUUUAACCCAAAAUCAAAUAGAUCAGCUCUAAUUUGAAUCAAACUUAAUUUUAAUCAAUUUAAUUUUGAUUAAUUUAGAUUCGAUUUUGAUUGUAAAUGGGAUUGAUUUCGAACCGGCCACCUCUUGUUGGGAAGAGGGAGUGAGGUUUUCUUGACAGCUCAACCAACAAUAAUGUAAAUCCAUGUAGAAAUACACAAAGUGAGAAGAUUAUGAGUAAAAGAAAAGUCUAUUAAGUGUUAAUUAGUGAUAAGGUCAAUCUAAACAAAUCUUAAGAAGCAUCUUUGACUGAGAAAACUUUAGCAAAUUAACAAUGAUGUUUGAUUUAGAAAUCUACAGUUCCAUGUUUUUAACCUUUGCUUUAUUGAGAUGGCCUGCUUGAAUGAGUACAAAUCAAAUAUUGAAUAGUCUCCUUCAAAAGAUGUCAUCAUUUUUACUUUUAUUAAUCAUGUUGAGAGUUUGGCAAGCUUGAUUUUGAACCAUCUUGCUAGUUCGGGACUGGCAUAAGUCUCCGGUCACAAUAACUUUAAUGAUACUCAAAUUGAAGUUGAAUGACUUUAAUGAAAUAACCAUAAAGUUUGGUGACUUAGUGAUAAUAAAAAUCAAAGCCAUGCAUGAACAUCUUCAUAUUUUUCUAGUGUUUACAGGUCGAACAUUUCUAACUUGAACUAUGGGAUUGCAGACAAUUUUAUUCCG
rnacentral:misc_RNA from 1 species